GAGACACCCUUCUGGGGCAAGACUUGCUUCAGUGAGGUUUUGGUGCUCACUGAGUCUGCCCCCUGAGUGUGUCCCU
rnacentral:pre_miRNA from 1 species